UACGUAGGGUGCUAGCGUUGUCCGGAUUUACUGGGCGUAAAGAGCGCGCAGGCGGUCGUUCAAGUCGCGUGUGAAAGCCCCCGGCUCAACUGGGGAGGGUCACGCGAUACUGAUCGACUCGAAGGCAGGAGAGGGUAGUGGAAUUCCCGGUGUAGUGGUGAAAUGCGUAGAUAUCGGGAGGAACACCAGAGGCGAAGGCGGCGACCUGGACAGAUACUGACACUCAACUACGAAAGCGUGGGGAGCAAACAGG
rnacentral:rRNA from 1 species